rnacentral:rRNA from 1 species
GGAGGAAAAGAAACUAACAAGGAUUCCCCUAGUAACUGCGAGUGAAGCGGGAAAAGCUCAAAUUUAAAAUCUGGCGGUCUUUGACUGUCCGAGUUGUAAUUUAGAGAAGCGUCUUCCGCGCCGGACCGUGCACAAGUCUCCUGGAAUGGAGCGUCAUAGAGGGUGAGAAUCCCGUCUUUGGCAUGGAUGCCCGGUGCUUCUGUGAUGCGCUCUCGAAGAGUCGAGUUGUUUGGGAAUGCAGCUCAAAAUGGGUGGUGAACUCCAUCUAAAGCUAAAUAUUGGCGAGAGACCGAUAGCGAACAAGUACCGUGAGGGAAAGAUGAAAAGCACUUUGGAAAGAGAGUGAAACAGUACGUGAAAUUGUUGAAAGGGAAACGCUUGAAGUCAGUCGCGUCGACCGAGACUCAGCCUUGCCUUGGCUUGGUGUACUUCUCGGCACGACGGGUCAGCAUCAAUUUUGCCCCUCGGAUAAUGGCAAGGGAAAGGUGGCACCUUUACGGGUGUGUUAUAGUCUCCUGUCGCAUGCGAGGGGUGGGAUUGAGGAACUCAGCGCGCACCUCGGUGUCGGGGCUUCGGCCCACGUUACGUGCUUAGGAUGCUGGCAUAAUGGCUUU